GGACAAGUGGAGAAAUAAAGAGAAUAUUGCAUUGGAUGUAUAGGAAAAUUAAAACUAACAGAAGAUUAAUGUUCUUAAGUAUCCAAAUUUAGAGAAGCUAACCCAAUUCCUUUGGUUCCACCGGUGACAAGAGCUGUCAUUCCACGUAGAGACCAUGUCCUCUCUCUGCUAUUCAUCUCUAUCUGCUCUCUAAUCUUCCUGUCUGCUCUCUAAUCUAUCUUUAUGCAAAUACUUUGUGGUUUCGGUUAUAUUUCUUUUCGAUAGGAUAACUAUUGUAUAUUUUGGCGGCCAGGGAAAGGUACGCGUGCCAUCUGUUCAUUCAGCAACUUGCAACAUUUUGGUUGCUUGUUUUGACGUGGCAAACUAAUGCAAAUUGAUUGUCCAAUUUGAAUUUGACUAAAUUAUAUUUCAUCCAAUUUCAACAUCUUACAAUGACUGUCUAUUUCAUACAACUUUCGAUUCAAUCGUUACACAGUGAUUCAAUAAUUCAGGACGAAUUCUAAUCUCAUAUUCUAUAAAGCUCGUUUUGAAUUUGAUUCGUGACACCGAUGAAUUAUACACUAUAAAGAAUUGAAGUUUAAAGAACACUAUUUCAACAAACUUUUGGAACUAGAAAGCAAAGAUACUUUUGGAGCUAGAAACAAAUGGAAGGUAUUACGGUUCGUCCUGAACGAGAUCGAUGUCUUUUCGGUUAAUUUUUCAGCAAAUAGACAUGUCAUUGAGAGUAUUGUUUAAACCCAUAAACAUUUUGAACUAUUUUUACUUAACAUCAUCAUAUUUAAAAGGGCUUUAGUUAUUUCACUAGCACUUUCAAUUGGAAACCGCCCCCUGUAACAAGCUAGACAUAUGAAGUUAUGAGAAUACUUAAAGAGCAAGUCGUCCAAAUCAUCUUUAGGUAAUCUUUGGAGGGGUCAGUUGAUGUUGCUUAAAGAGUUUUUGUAACAUUUCUCGUCUAAGUUCACCUCAGUACUUAAGUUUAAUUAUUUUUUAAUCUUUAAUUGUACGAAAAGAAAAAAAAGGGACAUAUAACAUGAAUGUAGGGUCAUCAUAUCAACUAAAAAAGCUUCAUUGGAGUAUUUCGUCGAGCACCUAGUAGGCACCUACCAAUUCCUGCCAACAUAUACCGAAAGCUUAUGCUAACGUAUGUCGACAACUAUUAUUAUUGUAGAGGCUUGUCAAUGGUGGAUGCAAGAUGCCGUGGAGUAAUGUUGAAGAUUGUUAAGACUUGUCAACUAAGGUAUUUCAUUGAGCACAUGGUGGUCACAAUAGAAUCACACAAGAGGAGAGAAAGAAGACAAAUGUGAUAGAAUAAAGUAGAAGAAGUAGGAGGAGGAGGUUGUAAAUUUCGUUUGCCUUAGUUGUUUAUAGGGGUCAAAUAUAAUACGCAAACAAAUAUACAUGAAGGUUUUUAACUUGUUGGGUCAAGAGCAACCAAUGAUCUUAUGCUGACUUUGUCACUGAUAAUAAGAUCCCUGUCUUAAUUUUUUGCUAAGAACAUAAAAAAUCUUGUAUCGUUGAGUAUUGAUAGGAACAUGUCAUCAGCCUUGUUGUAUCUUUGAGGGGCCAAGGAAAAAGAUGAUGUGCAAUGCUUCUUGAGGAGUUUUGUUGUUUCUCAAUAAAAUCUAGUCAUUUGAAUUUCUUGCUUCUAGUACUACCUAAUGCUUGAAGUUUGAACAUGUUAUAGAAGCAUUUUUUAUUGUUUUGAUCAUACAUACAUGUCGAUCAUUUUCAAUGAACUGGCGAUUUCGGUGGUGCUCUUUGAGAUGUUGGAGUCUUCUCUUCAUCAGGUUUGGCGUGAUCUCAGGCGUUUGUUGGUGGCGUUCUAGCGGCGGCGAAGGGUAGCAAGUUGCUAGGGUUUGUUGCGGUUUUUUUCUUUUGGGUGGUCUCAAACUUUUGUUUUGGGCCAUUUUUGCUUUACUCUGGAGGCCUACAUCUAUGUUGUGUGCUUAUUGUGAUUGAGCUUCUUUCUUUGUAAUUAUGUUGUCUUGAUAAUAAUUUUAUCCUUUAAAUAAACAACAAAAAAAAAUUUUCCAAACUUGGAAGCUCUUCUACUAGAGUGAAACGAAAUGUCAAUAGACCGAAUGGUUGGCAAUCUUUUAUUUACAUAUUAAAUUAUAAAUUAAUGUCACCUAUUUUCACAUACAAUUAAAGCACACCACUUUAGAAUUAGAUACGAGAUUUUAUUUUUCCAGACCUGCAGCACUGUCUCUACGACUGCAUAUGCAAUUAUGUAUCCAUGCAGAACUGUUUCCAAGUCAUGCUCCUUGGAAGAGCAAGCCAUUGACGGUCACCCCGCCGUCGACGAUAAUAGUCUGCCCAGUAAUGUAAGAGGCUGCAGGUAGACAUAGAAAUGCUACCAAGGAAGACACCUCCUCUGGCUCUCCAGGACGUCCUAAAGGGCACCGAGAGUUUAUCAUCUCCAAUUUCUUUUCAUUUCGGAGAAACUGCAUGCAAAGAAGAGAUAAUAGAUGAAAAGAGAAUGGAUGUGUAGGACACAUGUAUUAGCGACGAUCUUAAUAAUUGGUCAAGUUAUUCGUAAACAAAUUAAUUAAGAUUAGAAGUAUGAUCUAAACUUGCUGUAAACAAGUCAGGUCUAAGAACCUAUACAUGAAUAAACAAGACAUAUGGACUUUUGGCAAAACCCAACUUUUUAUUCUAAUUUCAAUUAUGGGCUUUUGGCAGAAUCAUCAACGAAAUACGAAUUGGCUUGAAAUUAUGAGAUGAUUGUAAAUAUAAGAUGUUAAAAGAAUUCACUCAUGUAUCUUAUAUGUAGUUUUGAUUUUCCUGCCGCAACAUCGAUUGUAUUUAAAAAUAAAUAAAAAUAAAAUGCAUGCACAAGAACGUGAUCCGAAUAAUCUUACAGGUUCAGCGAGGGGAGUCGUGAUGAACCAAGGUGCCACACUGUUGGUCCUUAUGUUAUCCUUCGCCCACUCACAUGCUAAGUUUUUUGCUAACUGAUUCAUUGCACCUGAGAUACAGUAAAGAAAAGCCACACUUUGGUCUAACAUUAAAAAUCACACACCAAAAACAGCGUAAUCAAAUUUUAGGUUAGUCUAAAAGUGAUAUAAACAAUAUAUGAUACUUUUAAAUUUUUUAAUCUGAUGUAAGGUGUUAGUCUAAAAGUGAUAUAUUUUUUUCAAAGAAUUGAAUGAAUUUUUAACUAAUUAUAAACAAUAUAUGAUACUUUUCAAUUUUUAAUAAAAGUCGGAAAUCUAUAUAAGGAUUAACUAUAAGCACCUUUAGUGGCAGAAUAUAUAGAUUCACCAUCUAUUGAGACCACACCAGCAGUAGAGGACAAAAAAACAAUGCUAGCAGCUCCUGCAGCUUUGAGAAGAGGAUGUGAAAGCUGGCAAAAGUUGUAAGCAGAUUCAAGAUUGGUACUCAUUAUGAAUGAGUAAUCUUCAGCUGUGUACUCUAGCGUUGCUUUCGUCAAGCUAGUCCCCACAUUGUUUAUCUAUAACAAGACAUUAUUGUAAAGGUUUAGCAUAACAUAACGAUUUUAGCUUAUAUGUAUUAUUGAAAAAUGCAUGAAAAUUAUGUGUAUUAAACGUAAAAAGUACAUAUAUACGUGUACACAUUUUUGAGUUUUAAAAAACUUACAAUCUUACAAAUUAUUGAAUUUUGAAAUGUGUACAACAGAGUUAUUUACGAGAGGAUGUUUAGUUUGUCUUGAAAGUGUGAUGAUGAUUCAUGAUUCAUCCACAUAUCUUAUUUCGUCCUGGUUUGGUACUGAGGUGAUUCUGAAAAAAGUAGAUAUCAAAAAAAGUUCCCAGCUUUUUUAUGUUUGGUAAACAUUCAGCUUCAACUUUUUUUCACAGUUUUGGGUGAAAAAAAACCAAAAACACAAAGCUGCAAAACCUAGCUUUGAAAAACCAGUUUUUUUUUCACAUCUGUUUUACAUAAAAGUUUAUCAAACACUAUAAUAUUGUUUUUUUUUUUAAAAGUACUUUUACAAAAAAGUUUACCAAACACUCUACUGCUUUAUUUUACAGUUGCUUAUUCUCACAGCAUAGCAGAAACAAUUUUUUUCAAAACACAACAAUACCAAACCAGCCCUUCAACUGAUCAAUCUUUACUUACAAGGAUGUUGAGUUUGCCAUCAAAAAGUGAUGAGACCUUGUUUAUAAGCUCCUCUCUUUGGGUUUUUGACACCACAUCACAGACUGAGCCUGUGACUUGAAAACCCUUCUUCUCCCACUGACUCUGGCAGUCAUUAAGGUCAACUUCUUUCGGGAACAAGUAUGCACAAUUGCACCCAGCCCUGCCAAUUCCUCCACUAUCGCAUACCUAAAUAAAACUUUACUAAUUUAACAUAGAGCAAUACAAAAUAAUUCAAACCCAUAAUUCUAAAACAGAAGAAAACAUGGGACAAGUGGAGAAAUAAAGAGAAUAUUGCAUUGGAUGUAUAGGAAAAUUGAAACUAAAAGAAGAUUAAUGUUCUUAAGUAUCCAAAUAUAGAAGCUAACCCAAUUCCUUUGGUUCCACCGGUGACAAGAGCUGUCAUUCCACGAAGAGACCAUCUCCUCUCUCUGCUAUUCAUCUCUAUCUGCUCUCUAAUCUAUCUUUAUGCAAAUACUUUGUGGUUUUUAUUAUAUUUCUUUUCGAUAGGAUAACUAUUGUAUAUUUUGGCGGCCAGGGAAAAGUACGCGUGCCAUCUAUUCAUUCAGCAACUUGCAACAUUUUGUUUGCUUGUUUUGGCGUGGCAAACUAUGCAAAUUGAUUGUCCAAUUUGAAUUUGACUAAAUUAUAUUUCAUCCAAUUUCAACAUCGUUCAAUGACUUUCUAUUUCAUACAACUUUCGAUUCAAUCGUUCAAUAGUUCAGUACGAAUUCUAAACUCGUAUUCUAUAAAGCUCGUUUUGAAAACUUGAUUCGUGACACUAAUGAAUUAUACACUAUAAAGAAUCAAAGUUUAAAGAACACUAUUUCAACAAACUUUUGGAACUAGAAAGCAAAGAUACUUUUGGAGCUAGAAAACAAAAGGAAGGUAUUACGGUUCGUCCUGAACGAGAUCGAUGUCUUUUUGGUUAAUUUUUCAGCAAAUAGACAUAUCAUUGAGAGUAUUGUUUAUAGGCAUACAAUUCUUCUUGCUCCACAUUUUUUAAGGUUAAAUUACAUUUUACCCCAUCAAGUAUGGUAUAAAUUACAACCUUAUACAACAUCUUUAAAACAUUUCAAUUUCAUACAUUUAAUUAUAUUUUAUUUUCAGUUUUAUACAUCCGUUAAAAUAUCUGUUAAGUCAACCGUUACAUGAUAAUGUGGUAAAUGAUGACAUGAUUCUCAACUUUGCACCAUGUGAAUAAGAAAAUAAUAAAAAAGGAUUAUUUAAUAAAAAAUCAAUUUAUAUUAUAAUUAAAAACAAACAAAAAUUGAAAAGGGCAUCUGGGCAAUCACCCUCUUCCUCCUCCAGCACCACCACCAACGCACCUACGAAACCCUAGCCGUAAAGAGAAACGCGCACAGCUUCCAUCUCUCUAUCGGCAUAGCCCCAUGUACGAUCAGCCAUGGGCAAAUUUCACGGAUCGUUCGCACAUGCCCUUAUCCAUUCACGCAAGGACCUGCAACCAGAUAUCGACCCGCUACUGAAACCCAGACCAUAAAUCUGAUUGAAGCCCAAACCACUGCCGCACCUGAUCGAUUCUGAACCACGAAUCUGUUCUGAACCACCGCUACGAUAUUAGACCCGAUGAACCACAAAGAGCUGCCAUUUGAUUGUCGCGAUGACCUCUGCCGCAAUCUGUUUGAACCACCGCACCGCGCCCAGACCCCUGCAUCCACAAGCCCGACCUGCUUGCCUCGAGCAGAUGUAACCAAAAAAGCCGGUACCCUUACCAUAUUUGUACUGCACCUGCAUCCACUAGCACCGUCUAGCGCCUGUAUCAAGCCAAAUCCUCAUUUAUUUUCUAUUUUCGUGGUGAAAGGGGGCUUCAAGCCCAGAUCCUAUUUCGUCAAUUUUAAAUGGAGUUGAAAUGAAAUUUUCAAAAUCUUUACAAUUUUUUAAAUUUGCAAAUCAAAGGAAUUCAUAAAAUGAACACAAUUUCAUCAAUUUGGAGCUUUUGAAGUUGUUAAGGGUUGAAGAGGAGGAGGAAAACGAGUUUGGAGAAAGAAAGGCGGCGAGGUUGCUCGAGAAGAUGUAGGGUGGGGUGGGGGGGGAGGUUGCGGGGGAGGUGGGGGGUGGGGCGGGAAGGGUGGGUUUGGGUUGCGGGGAAGGGGAAGGGGGGCGGUUGCGGGUGGUUUUUUUGGAUGGGAGGGUAGGUGAAGAGAGUCGAGGAGAGGAAGAAGGUAGGUGGGGAAGAUGGGUUUCAGUUUUUUUUUUAUUUUUUAAGUGUAAAUUAUUAUAUUUUAAAUGCAUAAAAAAUUAAUUUGUUUGUCAUGGCAUAAAUUUAGCAAUCAUGUCAGCAUAAAUGUAGAUCUCAUAUUUGUCACGUCAUCAUUUAAUUGUAUAUAUGAAAUUGAUAUAAAAUGAUAAGUAGAUGCAUGAAAUUAAAAUGUUUGUAAGAUAACAAUAUAUAUGAAAUUGAAAUAAAAUGAUAAGUAAAUGUAUGAAAUUAAAAUAUUUUAAAAAUAUUGUAAGAAGUUACAAUCGAUCUCAAACUUAAAGAGAUAAAAUGUAAUUUUUUUUUUUAAUGCAAUCUUGUUAAGGGUCACAGAAUGAGUUAAAUAUUCCCACGACUAUACGUAAGAAUCUCGGUCUGAUGGGAUGAAAAUAUGGCUCCCUUUGAAAGUAUUUUUUUUUUUUUUUUACAUUGCGUAGCAUGUUUGUCUUCCGCAAAACACUUCCAAGUAUCUUUUAAACCAAAAACAUUUUAAACUAUUUUUACUUAACAUUAUCAUGUCUCUGCAAUUGCUUUAGUUAUUUAAACAGCAUUUCGAAUUGGAAACAGGCUCUACAACAAGCUAGACAUAUGAAGUUCUGAGAAUAGUUGAUAAGCAAGUUGUCCAAACCAUAUUUAUGUAAUCUUUGGAGGGUUCAGUUUAAAGCAUUUUUCUGACAUCUAUCAUCUAAGUUCACCUCACCACUUAAAUUAAUUAUUUUUUAAUUUUUAAUUGAACGAAAAGUAAAAAAGGGGCAUAUUACAUGAAACGUAAUAAGAUUCCUAUCUAAUUUUUUUUCCAAGAACCAAAAAAAAAAUUACUUGUAUCGUUGAGCAUUGAUAGAGAUAUGCCGUCCAGUAAUCCAGAAAAUUAAUUUUAUGAUCAGCCAUGUAAGGAAAACGAUGAUGUGCAAUGCUUCUUGAGGAGUUUUGUUGCUUCUCAAUAAAAUCUAUUUAUUUGAAUUUCCUGCUUCUACUACUACCUAUUGCUUGAAGUUUGCAUAGAUUAUAGAAGCAUUUUUUAUUGUUCUAAUCAUACAUGUCGAUCAUUUCCAAUUAACUGGCGAUCUUGGUGGUGUUGUUUGGAGGAUGUCGCAAUCUUCUCUCCAUCCAGUUUGGGGGUUGUGUUUAGCCGAUCUCAGGCGUCUGUUGGGAACGAUGGUUUGAGAUGGUGGGUUGGUGGCGUUUUGGCAGUGGAGUAGCAAGUUGCUAGGAUUUGUUGCGGUUUUUUUGUGCUCAAACCUUUGUUUUGGGCCAUUUUUGCUUUUACUUUGAAGGUUGAGUUGAAUAUCAGAGUGCGCAACGAACAAGACUAACAAGAAUAAUAAGAAUAUUAUUAAACUAACUGAUAAUGCCGGAACGGCUACAAAACCCUAAGAGACUAAUAACUUGUUAUUUCUAUAGAGUUACAAAGUACCAUAUAUAUAGAAAAGUAAUCUAACCCUAAUAGACAAGAAAACGAAACCCUAAUUCUAACGGGCUAAGCCCAAAAUACCAAACAUUAAAAUAAAUCUAAAUAAUAAUAUUUUCCAAGACCCCCGUCAAACUCAUGGCGGUACACGACAUGAGUUUGCUAAAAUAGAUGUGGAUGCAAGACUUCAAAUUCCAGUGCUAAUGCCGAUGUCGAUGGCAAUGCUAAUGUCGAUGUCGAUGCCGAUUUCCAAUGCCAAAUUCCAAUACCAUGCCCAAUGCCAAGUUCCAAUACCAUACCCAAUGCAAGAAUACACGGGCAACAAAACCUCAAAACAACCAAAUUUUUUUUUCCUUCCUUCUCCCCCCCCCCCCUUUUUGUUUUCCUUCCUUCGUCCUUCCUUUUUUUUCUUAUGUGCGAACCAACCAGCAACAUCAGCCUUUCUUUUUUUUUUUUUUCACAGGUGUACGGUUGUGGACGGAUCCAGAUGCAAGGUGGGGCUGGGGAAUGCAGAAAUCCUAGUGCGAUGAAGCAUUUUCAAAUUUGGGUGUGAGACAAAUUCACCAAAUUCUUUUUUUUUUCAAAAACAGAAUUUUUUUUCCUUUCUUGAAGACUACCAAGGACAAACUGAAAACCAAACCAGAAAACGUAAAAAAUCUACGAAUGGAAACUGGAAAGAAAUAAAACUGAUACGAACAAACAGAAGUAGAUUAGAUCCCGAAGAAUCAAACAUGCUCUAAAACCAAGUUGAAUAUCAGAGUGCAACAAGACUAACAAGAAUAAUAGGAAUAUUAUUAAAUUAACUGAGAAUGCAGGAACGGCUACAAAACCUAAGAGACUACAUUGUGAAUAAUUUGUUAUUUCUAUAGUGUUACAAAAUACCAUAUAUAUAGAAAAGUAAUCUAACCCUAAUAGGCAAGGAAACGAAACCCUAAUACUAACGGGUUAAGCUCAAAAUAUCAAAUAUUAAAAUAAAUCUAAAUAAUAAUAUUUUCCAACCGGUUCAUAUUUGCGUUGUGUGCUUAUUGUAAUUGAAUUUCUUUCUUUGUAAUUUUGUUGUCUUGGUAAAAAUUUUACUCUAAAAAAAAUCGAGGCUUGAAAGCUCUUCCAAUAGAGCGCUACUAAAUGUCAAUAGACCAAAUGUUUGGCAAUCUUUUAUUUUCUUAUUUAAUUAGAACAUUAAUGAUGUCACCUAUUUGCACAUACAAUAAAAGCACACCACUUUGGAAUUAUUAAAUACGAGAUUUUUUUUUAGAACUGUUUCCAAGUUAUGCUCCUUGGAAGAGCAAGCCAUUGACGGUCACCCCGCCGUCGACGAUAAUAGUCUGCCCAGUAAUGUAAGAGGCUGCAGGUAGGCAUAGAAAUGCUACCAAGGAAGACACCUCCUCUGGCUCUCCAGGACGUCCUAAAGGGCACCGAGAGUUUAUCAUCUCCAAUUUCUUUUCAUUUCGGAGAAUCUGCAUGCAUAGAAGAGAUAAUGGAUGAAAAGAGAAUGGAUGUGUAGGACACAUAUAUUAGCGACCAUCUUAGUAAUUGGUCAAGCCCUUCGUAAACAAAUUAAUUAAGACUAGAAGUAUCAUCUAAACUUGCUGUAAACUUUUCACCCAGAAACUUGCUGUAAACAUGUCAGGUCUAAGAACCUAUACAUGAAUAAAAACAAAAGACAUAUGGACUUUUGGCAAAACCCAACUUUUUAUUCCAAUUUCGACUAUGGACUUUUAGCAGACUAAUAAAUGAAAUACGGAUUGGCCUGAAGUUAUGAGAUGAUUGUAAUAUGAUGUGUGAUAUUCACAUACUUUUUUUUACUUCUUACACAUCAUUUUAAUUUGCGACCGUCGAAUCGGAUAAAUUAAAAAAAGAUUAAAGAACAUAAAUCCAUAAGAGGUGUGUUGAUAGCACACCCCUUGUAAUAUAAGAAGUUCAAAGAAUUCACUCAUGUAUCUUAAAUGCGGUUUUGAUUUUCCUGCAGCAACAUCUGUUGUAUUUAAAAAAAGGAAAAUAAAAGGCAUGCACAAGAACGUGAUUAGAAUAAUCUUACAGGAUCAGUGAGGGGAGUCUUGAUGAACCAAGGUGCCACACUGUUGGUCCUUAUGUUAUCUCUCGCCCACUCACAUGCUAAGUUUUUUGCUAACUGAUUUAGUGCACCUGAGAUACAAUAAGAAAAGCCACACUUUGGUCUAACAUUUAAAAUCACACACCAAAAAUAUUGUAAUCAAAUUUUAGGUGCUUCUCAUCUCAACCUCUUUUGAAACUAGCCACUCCUCUUUUCUCCUCUUACCAAACCCUGAAUUUUCAAACUCCAUAGUUGCCGGCCUCUUGAUUCGACUGGAGGCCGAUGGCAAUCCCUCUCCCCAUUUUUCUAGCCUCUCUUCUUUAUCUUUUCAUAGAUUGUUGCUUAUUUAUUUACGUCUUAGUAUUUUUAUUAAUAAGUGUCUUUUUGGUGAGAUUUUUUGUGGGUAUUUCUUAAUGAGUGUUUUAAGUUGAUAUGGGUGCAGACCCUUUAAGGGAAGAGAUCCCUAUUUAAAAAAAAAAUGGGGCUCCCUCUUGACCAUUAUAUCUGACUUUAAUGAAAUUCUGUGGUUGAGAUUAAAUCACAGGCCACAGAAUUUCAUUAAAGUUAAAUCUAACGGUUAAGAGGGUGUCCCUAUUUUUUUUUUUGGAAAAUAGGGAUCCCUUCCCUUAAAGGCUUUCUAUAUAGGUGGGUAUCGGCUCAUUUUGUGUCUACUUUUUUGGAGUUGGUUUGCUGCAUGUCUUGCGCACAAAGUUCAUGUUGCGCACAAAAUUAGUUUUUAAUCUUAUAUAAAGUAUUAGUCUAAAAGUGAAUUUUUUAAGGAUUUGAAUGAAGUUUUUUUUUUUUAAAUUUUUUAAUUUACAAAUUAUAAACAAUAUAUGUUUAUUUUUUUUAUUUUUAUAAAGGUCAAAAUUAUAAAAGGAAAUUAACUAUAAGCACCUUUAGUGGCAGAAUAUAUAGAUCCAACAUCAAUUGAGACCACACCAGCAGUAGAGGACAAAAAAAUGAUGUUAGCAGCUCCUGAAGCUUUGAGAAGAGGAUGUGAAAGUUGGCACAAGUGGUAAACAGAUUCAAGAUUGGUACUCAUUACGAAUGAGUAGUCUUCAGCUGUGUACUCUAGCGUUGCUUUCAGUAUGCUAGUCCCCACAUUGUUUAUCUAUAACAAGAUAUUACUGGAAAGGUUUAGCAUAACAUAACGUUUUAGCUUGUAUGUAUUAUUGAAAAAAGCAUGAAAAUUACGUGUAUCAAUUGUAAAAAAUACAUACGUAAGUGUACAUCUUUGAGUUAAAAAAAAGUACAAUUUUACGAAUUAUUAAAACGUUUAUAGCAAACAGAAAUAUUUACGAGGAUGUUUAGUUUGUUAUGAAAACGUGAUGAUGAUUAAUGAUUCAUGCAUAUAUGUUAUUUCAAUUGAUCAGUCUACUACUUACAAGGAUGUUAAGUUUGCCUUCAAAAAGUGAUGAGACCUUAUUUAUAAGCUCCUCUCUUUGGGUUUUAGACACCACAUCACAGACUGAGCCAGUUACUUGGAAACCCUUCUUCUCCCACUGACUCAGGCAGUCAUUAAGGUCAGCUUCAUUUCGGGAACAAGUAUGCACAAUUGCACCCAGCCCUGCCAAUUCCUCCACUAUAGCAUACCUAAAUAAACACUUCACUAAUUUAGCAUAGAAUUGUAAAAAAUAAUUCAAACCCAUAAUUCUGAAACAGAAAAAAACAAGGGACAAUUGGACGGAUAAAGAGAAUAUUGUAUUGCGUGUUUAAGAAAAAUUGAAACUAAAAAAAAGAUUAACGUUCUUAAUUAUCCAACUUUAGAGAAGCUAACCCAAUUCCUUUGGUUCCACCAGUGACAAGAGCUGUCAUUCCACGAAGAGACCAUCUCCUCGCUCUGCUAUUCAUCUCUAUCUGCUCUCUAUUCUCCCUGUCUGCUCUCUGCAAAUACUUAGUGGUUUAUAUUUUAUAUUUCUAAUCGAUAAUGAUUAUAAGUCUUAUUUUGGUGGCCAGGGAAAAGUAAGCGUGCCAGCCGCCUACAAAUAGUUUCUCCUCAGCAACUUGCAACUUUUUCUUGUUUUUUUGGAAACUAGCAACUUGCAACUUUCAACUUUUUGUUUGCUUGUUUUGAUAUGGCAAAGUAUGCAAAUUGAUUGUUCUUCAAUUUGAAUUUGACUAAAUUAUAUUUCAUCCAAUCGUACAAUGUCAUUCAAUUACACACAACCUCCAAUCCAAUCGUUACAACCUCCAAUCCAAUCGUUACAAGUACAAUAAUUGAGGAUAAAUUUCAGAUUCAUAUUUCACACAACACGUUUGGAAUUCGAUUGCAUGCGUUGAUGAAUCACACAAUGGUGGCCAAAGAGAAGUUGAAAUGUCACCAAGUGCUUAUCUUUUAAAAGAUUAAUAAAAUACAACCUCUGAUUUGGUACUAAUGUCAUACAAUCGUUAGUCAAUCUGUCAAAUAAGUCAUUAGGUGAUGAUGUGACAAGUGCAGCUCACAUUUUGUUAACUUUUGAGUCCAAAUUUGUGCCCCAUGGUUAAAGCAAAUUAAAAGAAAAAAUAAUAAUUAUUAAUAAUGUAAAAAUUAGAAAUCAUUUUUUUUUUAAAGGAGUACACUAUUCAUUAAUAACUAGAACAACGUACAAAUAGGGAAAAUGUGCUAACAGAGGGCCUAUAUAAAAACCUUACCGGUAAGUAACCCAAAUAAUGUAAAAAGAGUAUGUCUCGCAUAAAAUAAUAAGGACUAAAUUCCAAACAACCAAAUGUUAACUGUGAACACCAUCCUCCAACAAGAGAUCAAAAAUUAAAUCAGGAGGUCCCUCAAACCACGAAACCGGAUGAUCCAAAGUUAAAUUGAAUCUAGCUAGUCGGUGAGCCACCGAGUUUGCAUUUCAUCGUACAAAGCCUGCUUUCCACGAUUUAAAGGACUGCAUAAUCCUCCUGGUGUCUUCCAAUAAUAACGCAAACGGUACAUGGUUAGCCAUUGCAUUGUUUUGGAUUGCAGCAACUACUAGCAGCGCAUCACCUUCCAAUAUAACCUGGUCAGCACGCCACUAAAGUGCAAAAACAGCAGCUUCCCGUGCUGCAGCAACUUCCGCCUGCAUCGAAUCUGGCCUUGAGCUUCAUUACAAACCUUAAUAGCAUGAAUCUGGCCUUGAGCUUCCCAAUCAUCCAACAAAGCCGAGAGGCCUUCUGCACAUAUUACAAACAAGAACGGAGACAAUGGAUCCCCUUGCCGAAUCCCUCGUUUUGGGUGUACGAAUCCCACAGGAUCCCCAUUAAACUUGAAAGAAUAAGUCACAGUAGUAACACACAUCAUAAUCCAAUUAAUCCAUUCCUCAGCAAACCCCAAAUGUCUCAUCAUUUGCUCAAGGGAAGACCAUUCAAUACGAUCAUAUGCUUUAUUGAUAUCUAGCUUCAAAGCCAUCACACCCUUCCAACCGCUAUUCUUUGUUUUCAUAGCAUGAACAAUUUCCGAAGCCACCAAACAAUUAUUGGAAAUUAACUGACCCGAGAUGAACCCACUUUGGGAAGGCGAAAUAAUGUCAGGUAACACCAACUUCAACCUGUUCAUGAGAACUUUGGAGCAUAUCUAUAUAUAACAUUACAUAAACUGAUUGAGCGAAGUUGAGACAUGAAAGUAGGGUCCAUUUUCUUAGGAAUAAGAGUAACGUGCGUAAAAUUAAUUUUGCUCAUCAUACUUCCUGAAGAAAGGAGAGAACGAACCCCCUCAUAGAUGUCAUGACCAACGAUAGGCCAAUGUUUUUGGUAGAAUCCCAGAGUCAUCCCAUCUGGUCCAGGCGCCUUAAUGGGGUGCAUUUGAAAAAGAGCAUUCUUGUUCUCGUCAUCAGAAAACGGUACCAAGAACCCUUGAUUCAUCUCAGCCAUCACCUUUGGAGAAACCGUGCGAAGAACAGCAGACGCAUCAACCUGACCCGUGGAAUCAAACAACUUCUGAAAAUAAUUAACUAUUACCGCAGCCAUGCCAUCCUUGCUUUCCUGCCACUGCCCAUCGUCAUCAAACAAACCAUACAAACCAUUACUUCGCAACCGCCUAGAAGCCUUUUGAUGAAAAAAUCUUGUGUUUUGCAAUAUCAUUUAAUAUUUUAUCUAAAAAUUAAAGAAAAAAAAGAAAGAAAAUUUGAAACGCAGAUCUUCAUCUUCCUGUCCACCCAAUGCAGGUGACGAUCCCCCUCCCUGCAAUCAUCAAACCAAAAAGCUCCGCCGAAAUCAAACAAUCACAAUCAUCAAACCACCACCACCGUCAGAUUCCCAUGUGACCAUGAUAAUUAAGCAGUGCGAUUAUUUCAUUUAGCUUUACAUUAUUACCUGUUUAAUCUUUUACAAACAUAUUAAUUUCUUAUCCUCUAAUUGGGCAAUUUACUGUUAAAAAGUUAUGUCCUUACUGGCUGUUUUAGCCAAGGUUCUAAAAAACGCUAGGCGCUAGUCGGGCGACGAGCCAGUGCCUAGGCGGCUUAGGUGGAUUUAGGUAAAUUUCUUAUAUAUCUUGUAGAUAAGUGCAUAUUGACACAUAAAAAAUUAUAUUUGUAUGAAAUUCAUGGAUAAGAUAAUAAAAGAAUGAUAAAAUAUAAAAAGAAUAUUUAGUUUUUAAAUAAUUAGUAUUUAAUUUUUAAAUAAUAAAUAUUUAAAAACCCCACCAAGUGGGUUUGGUAGUUCAUAAACAUUUAAAAAUCAAAUGGUCGUUCAUAAAAUCCACGUGUGAGAGGUUUGACACCUCCCUUCCACCUCCACUUUCUCACAUCAGGUAGGAUUCAAAAGGUGGAGCUAGUUAUGCCUUGGAAAGCGAUCUCACAUUAUUUUUUUUGGGUUUUCUUUUCCUCUUCUGCCUUGGAAAGAGGAAAGCCCCAUUAAUGUUUUGAAAUUUUUUACUUCUUCUCUUCUUCUCCUUCUCUGAUUACUCUAUUUUUCCAUUUCCUCUUCUUCUGUUGCUCUGUAAAUUUCCACAGUAGCCUUUCUCGCUUCUUCUCCGAGCUUCUUUCUGCUUCCAAGGCGCUCACUCUGUCUCUCUCUCUUCUAGCUGCCAAGUAACUUCCAGUUCUGCCCCCAUCAACUCUAUUAAUUCCACCAUGAAACUUUGCACAUUCUGCAACUCCAUCCAAAAUCCAUCUCUAAAGUUCCAAUCUUUUCUCUUAAUCUUCUCAGCUCCACCACUCAUUCUACCCCUCAGAACCCAACAAAUUACAUAUGGGUCCCUCCCAAAGUCCUCAAACAAGCUUCCUUUCCACCACAAUGUCACCCUCACAGUCACCGUCGCAGUCGGAACACCGCCGCAGAAUGUUUCGAUGGUCAUCGACCCCAGAAGCGAGCUUUCCUGGCUUCACAGCAACAAAACCCGGGACUAUAACAAGACAUUCGAUCCGACCCAAUCCACCUCCUACUCCCCCGUCCCAUGCUUCUCAUCCACUUGCACGAACCGGACAAACCUUGCCAAUUUAUGAAACGAUUUUGAGUUAAUCGCGGCGAAGCACCGCCGCCUAGCGCCCAGGCACCGCCUAGGCGGCCGCCUCAACCGUUUUUUAGAACACUGAUUUUAGCUCACUCCUCUUUUGUUUUGCAGGUUUACAAAUAGACAAUCAAAAUGGUAGAUGGAAUGAGAUUGAAUUAGUUUUGAGGCUAGAAGUUCAAUUAAUUUUUAUUUUGGACUCGUCGAGAAGUAUGAUUUUCGUUUUUGAAUCACUUGAUUUCGUUGAGUAUUAAAGAAGGUAUGAACGUUUAAAGUUUACCCAGUUUCCAGCGAGUUUUUCAGUUUUCCCUCGGACCAGUCAACUUUGAGACUAUUUUCCGGCCAUCUCUAGAAAUCAUUGGGCUUCCAAAUAGGUAUAAUUUUAUUCUACACUUUCUUAUCUUCAUUUUGAUAUAUUAUAGGUUGAAUUUGGCUAAGAAACGAUUGAGUUACGAAGUUUUCAAAAUUGCCCAAACUUCCGGCUAAAAGCUCUGGGACACUUAAUUGAGUUUUUAACGGAAUGAUCAAAAUGAUGGAUGGUGGACAAUCUCAGGGAUCACUUUUAUUGAUUUGGAAUGUUAUGAACCAAAGUGAUAAGUUAUACAAAUCACAGAGACCAUUUUAGCUAUUUAGCCAGUAGAAAAAUAAUUCAAAUCCAUAAUUCAUCCACGGACGUUUGCAACUUUUUGUUUGCUUGUUAUCAUGUCACAAACGACGCAAAAUGAUUGUCCUUGAAUUUGAAUUUGGGUAACCUUAAAUUUUCGUCCAAUUUCAAUAUUAUACCUCUCUCAAUUUUUAUAUACCAGCCGUCAAAUUUGAUUAAGUGAUAAAAUGAAAAGUUUGGAACUUAUAUUUUACUGAUUUGGAGUCCAAAUUUAUGCCACAAGUUAGAACAAAUUAAAAAAAAAGUUUUAUUAUUAAUAAUGUAUAAAUUAGAAAAUCAUCUGCAAGAUCAUUUAAUAUUUUAUUUAAAAUUUAAAAAAAAACAAACGAAGGAUUUUUAUCACAAAUGGUCCAUGAAAUUGAUCCCUCAAUCAUGAUGGUCUCUAAAAUUGAAAAUCGAUCAAUGUAAUCACUGAAUAUUAGUCCCGCAAAUCAAUGUCUUUCUGUCACUGUUCCGUCCAAACUAGCGUUAAGAGAUUUUUUGGAAUUAGAUAAGAUAUAUAUUUUUUCCCUGAUCUCAAGCAUUGUCUCUUCUACUACAUAUGCAUACAUAUAGAACUAUUUCCAAGUCAUGCUCCUUGGAAGAGCAAGCCAUUGAUGGUCACCUCGCCGUCGACGAUAAUAGUCUGCCCAGUAAUGUAAGAGGAUGCAGGUAGGCAUAGAAAUGCUACCAAGGAGGACAACCUCUGGCUUUCCAGGACGUCCUAAAGGUCACCGAGAGUUUAUCAUCUCCAAUUUCUUUUCAUUUCCGAGAAACUGCGUUUAUAGAAGAGAGAAUUGAUGUGUAGGACACAUAUAUUACAAGCGCUUCAUUAACAUAAUAAAUAAGGCUAGAAGUAUGAUCUAAACUCGCUGUAAACUUUUCAUCAAAAAACUUGUUGUAAACAAGUCAGGUCUAAAAUUGAACCUAUACAUGAAUAAACAAAAGAUAUAUUGAACGCGAUUUAAGAUGUUUAGAAUAACGGUAGCCGGCUAUCUAGGCAGCUUUGGAGGUGGUUAGCAUGUCAAUUAUGUAUCUCUAUGUCUUUUUCAGAUUCUCUGGUUGCUUUUUGGGAUGCCUACGUAAGCCCUUUUCCUAACAACUGCACAAUCUAUGGAUUUUUUCGAAUCUUUAUACUAUUUUGACUAUUUGGAAAUCUCAAAAUAGGUUUAUUUUUUAGGGUCACCCAAUCUAUUUUCAUCGGCUUUGCAUGUCUAUCAAUUUUGGGAUCGUUCAUGGUUGGAAGUUUAUUCCUACUUAUUCUCAAGGCACUAGUCUAUCCUUGGCAAGGCUUCAACUAGUCAUCCUGUGCUUUGGUCUUUCCUUGGAUUAAACUUAAUACAGAUGGUUUGUCCAAAGGAAAUUCCAGUCCUACUCCUUGUGGAGGAGUUUUCAAAGAUUGCCAUUGCACAACCCGUCUCGAUUUAUUUUACGGGUUUUACGGAACGGAAGGUUAGUCUCAUAAUUUCACUUUGGUUUUAAAAAUGUGUUUGAAAAGGGUUUCUUUUGGACCUUAAAUGGUGUGCCCAAGGGGGCCCACCCCUAAUUUUCUGUCCCUGAUUCCCCUUUCCCCCGCCUGCCACGUGGCAAACCCCUACCCACUUCAUUUCUCAUUCUCUUCUCCCCGAGCACUCACUCUCUCAGCUCUAUAUCACUCUCUUUCACACACUCAACCUCUCUCCCUCAUCCCGAUUCACUCACACAUCCACACACCCAAAUCAAGGAAAGCAACGGCGACGGCGACACCAUCACAUCCACCGUGGUAGCACUCUCCCUCAUAUCUGUGAAGAAACCGGACACCUAGAGGGCACCCAAACCAAGACUUCGGCGAGCCCAGUGGGUUUCGAGCAAUGAAUCGGCCACCUUCGGCCAUUCCACGAUGAUUAGGAGGUAACCAAUCUUUCCUUUUUGUCUCUAUUUCAUUUUGGUACCUAGAUCGAGUCUUAGGUGUGAGCAGCGACGUCGACCGAAACUCAAGAGGCUCCGGCUUCCUUCCCCAGCGAGAAUAGGUAGCCAAGGCCCUUGGGUCGAGGAAACUAAGGCCUUUGGCCCGCUAAAGCUUUAGCCCAAGACCAAAGGGUUUCAGCCUGUGAGCUUUAGACCCAAACCCUUUUUAUUUAUAUUUAUUUUGUUUUCUUUUAAAAACCCAAAAACAAUCGGGCUAGGUUUCAAGCCCAACCCAGCCCAUUUAAAAACCCCUUAACCUUUUUAGACCCUUGCCUUAGGGCCGUUUGAGAUUAGGUCUUUGGGCCUUUGCAUCCGAGCCCAAACCCUUUGAAGCAAGCUUUCAGGCCAUGUAGAAGUUGGGCCUUUGGGGCCUGUGUAAAUCGAACCCAACCCAGAGAGAGACAGGCCUUUGGGCCAUCCAACUUGGGCCUCCAGCUCGGUAGUCUUAAUCCCAACUCGAACCCAUGAACCAUUGAUCGACUCGGACCCGUUAACCGUUGACUGGUUCGACCGUUAACUUAGUCAACAUUGAUCGUUGACUUUGACUUUGGUUUGUUGACUUUUUCUGGUUUUGUUCAGAAACCUUCUAGGCUAAUUUCGACGUCCUAGAACCGUUUUUUAUGUCCGUUUUCCCAAAUUCAAUUGUUUGAAUAUAGUUUUAUUAAUUGGACCAUUUAUGUGCUUAGGGGCAAUUAUUUGUGGUGUUUCCAUCUUAACUAGUUUGCGUGGCUCUUCGGCAGCGAGGUAUCUGUGAUUGGACCCUUUCUAAAAUGCAUGUUUUAAUAGUAGAAAUGCAUACAUGAAAAAUAUGAUUUAAUGAUUAAGUUUUAUGAAAUGUUUUAUGAGAUAUUAUCUUACUGAGAAUAUAUUGAAUUAUCAUAUUUUAUCGAACUAAUGUUCUUUGUAGUAUAUAUGAUGGAUGACUAUAUACUGCUUACGAACAUGCUUUUACACACUUUUUUAUAGUAUAUAUGAUGGAUGACUAUAUGCUAUGAAGAUGAUUUUGAGAUAUAUGUAUUUAUAUUUUGGGAAAUACUAUACUCAAUGUUUUUGUGUGUAUCUAGUGGUCACUGUUCUACCUACGGGCAAUGAUACUUAUAUUGGCUUCGGCUGGGCGUAAGUUGGUGCCUGUUUGGCAAAUGUAGUGUUCUGAAGGAAAUGUUCUAAAUGAGGAGUUCUCUAUGCCUUCGGGCGAUAUUGAUACCACUAGUUAGCACAUUAUAUACGUGAUAUUUAAGGUUUUAUGGCAUGCUAGGGUUUCAGAAACCUAUUACAUAUUAUAUUAUUGAAUUUCCAUAAACCUUUAGGGGUUAGUAUGUUGAUAAUUAUUUCAUUCUUAUAUGUAUAUCAACUUGGUCCGCUCUUGUUUGUUUUGCACCCCCUCAGGACUUAGAUUUGAGGUGUAAAAUCCCGGCAUCAAGGCACUUCCGCAUCGGCAUCUUCAAGUCUUCUUGGUGUAGGACCCAUUCCUUCAUUCAUUUAAUUUUAUAUUAUUUCGUUGGUUUUUACAUUAAAGUGACGUGAAUUAGAAAUCUCAUUAAGAGGAAGUCUGGUUAAGACCAGCUGAAGAUCCGAAAUGACGAUGCCACUUUGUAACAUGUGUUUCCCUAGGAAUUGGGAGCAGAGUCGGAUCUUCAUCGGAAUGUUGGGAAAUGAAAAAAUCUUAGUGGUACGAGUUGGUUAAGACCAACUGGAAAUCUAAGCGGUGUUGGACUCUGCGACAUGUGUACCCUAGGAAUGGCGGGCAGAGUCAUAUCCUUAUGGAAAUUACUUGAAAGUUCGUGUUAGAGAAAAUGAGUAAACGCUAGUUGUUACGAAGUUUAGUAAAUGGUAGUUUGGUGGGAUUGAAUCAAUGUUCUUGGACUCGUUUCCACUGAGAAAAUUCUUGUGGAUCUUUAGAACAAUUCUCGGUGAUUGUUCUAUCAAUAACUUUCUUGCUUACUCCAAUAGCGAAGUCAAGUCCCCUAACCUUUGACUGUCAACUUCACAUCAAAUUAUUCGAACGUUGUUUUUUACUAGAGUAUAGAAAUGUCAACUGCACUAUUGUGUACCACCUCGAUUGUGCAAGCGUAGUUGCUGAAUACCUCGGUAGAAAAAACACACAAAGCUCAAAGGGGAUAUAGGUUGAAUGUUUUGGCUUCCUAAUAAUGAGGCAUGGUAGAUCAGCAGAGUAAUGCAAUUGCAUAUUGCGAUGAUUAACCAAAUAAUCAUAAACAGUGACUUCUAUUUUUGCAUCUUCACUUUCCUUGGUUAUUUGUUCCUCAAUGUAAAACUAGAUCAUACUGUCGUACUGAUGUUUUUUACUACCCUUCCCGCCAAGCCCAUUCUGAUCAUGUAAACCUAAUCGAACAAUUAUCUAGUAAGACCGUAUUGGAUUAGAAAACCUGAAAAGCCAAAUCUACUAAAAUCAUAUAAAUUUGUCAGGAGGUUCAAAACAUCAAAUUAUUUCACGAGUUGCUGGACGAAGUUGAUUGACAAGUUAUAUUAAUAGGUGUGUUUUUGUGGAUGCGUACGCCCAGUUUCAUAUCGAUUCAGACAGGAAUGUUAGGAGUGUAACCUUUUCACAAGCUUACCAGAAUUACCGGAAAGACUUCCAUGUAGAUGUGAGCUUUGAGUCGUCUUUUAGUAAGAGAAUGAUGAAGAUUAUAGCGCAGGUGGUCAGCGAAUUGCAUCAUCAAUCAUUAUCUUCACGCAUAAAUGAAUAGUCACCACUCAUUAUUUUGCUGCAAUUCAUGAACAUCAUAUCGUACUUUAGUAGUUCUUUCCCAAUGAUAUGAUGCCUAUGAAUUGUAGCAAGAUAAGGAGAUGUGUGCGCUUCAACGCAUCUUUCCAAUGUUUCACUCCAAGACCUUAUUGUUCUUGAGUACGUGGAUGUCAAAACACUUUUAGUAGAUUUGAUUGGUGCGCUCUGGAAUGGUACCACAUCACGGUCAAGGCGAGAAUCAAAUGAUCUUUUCACACUCUCAUGUUGCUGAGCAAAAUGGUAUUUUGGCACUUUUGGCGACAUGGUACGAGAACUUUUACAGGCAACACCUGUUGACAAAGGGAUUUUUGCGAACUUGUAUCUGGAGGAUCGAAUUUAUGAUGUGAGAAAUUAUGCACCCUUAAGAAAUCACUGCUUGCUUACUGAGACAAUAAUGGGUGGUUGAUAUCGUGGGGAGCUGACUGUGAUAUCGAUAGCUUAUUCGUUGGAUCCGUUAAGCAUGUGGGCAGGUAGACCCAUCUACGGUAGAUAUUACUGAGUAGUCAUCGUUGGGGCUCGACCCAAAGACAAUUUUUCUCGUGGUACAUGACGUUACAUAUACGUGGGUGAAACCCACUUUCAUUUUCGGUUUUGGUUUUUAGUACAAGUAUUUUAACUUACAUAUUAUAGUUGUACGUGUUUUCUGAAGUUAAACAAAAAUUGGUCGAGUUAUUUCCACUUUCACUGUUGAGUUCAAUACGAAUUAUUCGACCUCUAUGUUAUUACUUAUCUAUUUUGACGUUAUCAUAUUUUGCAUACUUAUUUUUGAUGUUUUCGACUUUAUAUCUUUAUAAAGUAUGUUUUCUACUUUUACACUGAUGGGGAAAGAAAGUAUGAGCCUGGAGGCACGAAAGAUGGAAUCAUUGCAACCUGAUCACGAUGGUGUGGCAUUUUCCCUUUUCUACAACUGCUCUGACUUGAUUUCUUCUAUACAUAUAUAUUUUCUUCUCCCUAUUUUCAAGUUUUUUAGUGUAGCAAGUUAUUUUAAAUUUCGUGACAAAAUUUUAUUUAAUGGGGGUAGAUUAUGACAACCCGUCUCAAUUUAUUUUGUGAGUUUUACGGAACGGAAGGUUAGUCUCGUAAUUUCACUUUGGUUUUAAAAAUGUGUUUGAAAGAGGUUUGUUUUGGACCUUAAAUGGUGUGACCAAUGGGGACCACCCUUAAUUUUCUGUCCCCGGUUCCCUUCUUCCCCACUUGCCACUUGGCAGAUCCCUACCCAUUUCCUUUAUCUUCUCCUCGAGCACUCACUCUCUCAGCUCUCUAUCACUCUCUCUCACACACUCACCCUCUAUCCCUCAGACUAUUUCCCUCACCCUAAUUCACUCACACAUCAACACACCCAAAUCAAGGAAAGCAACGACGACGGCGACACCACCACAUCUACCAUGGUAGCAUUAUCCCUCUCCCUCGUCUCUGUGAAGAAACGGGACACCUAGAGGGCACCCAAACCCAGACUCCAGCGAACCCAAUUGUUUUGAGCAAGGAAUUGGCCACCUCCGACUAUUCCACGAUGAUUAAGAGGUAACAAUUUUUUCCCUUUCGUCUCUAUUUCAUUUUGGUACCUAGAUCGAGUCUUAGGUGUAAGCAACAAUGUCGACCGAAGCUUGGGAAGCUCCGGCCUCCUUCCCUAGCAAGAACAGGUAGCCAAGGCCCUUGGGCCGAGGAAUCUAAGGCCUUUGGCUUGCUAAACCCUUAGCCCAUGACCAAAGGGUUUCGGCUCGUGAGCUUUAAACCUAAACCCUUUUUAUUUUUAUUUAUUUUGUUUUCUUUUAAAAAUCCAAAAACAAUCGGGUCAUGCUUCAAGCCCAGCCCAAUUGAAAACCCUUUAAUCCUUUCGAACCUAGGCCUUAGGGUCGUGUGGGAUUUGGACUUUGAGCCUUUGCAUCAGAGCCCAAACCCUUGUAGCCCCAAACCCUUUAAAGCAGGCUUUUGGGUCGUGUGGAAGUUGGGCCUUUAGGGCACGUGUAAAUCAAACCCAACCCAAAGAGAGGCAGGCCCUUGGGCCUCCGACCCGGUAGCCUGAAGCCCAACCCGGUUCGACCCGAAAUCGUUGACAGACCCGGACCCGUUGACUGUUGACUUUGACUUUGACCGGUCAAAGUGGACUUUUUGUUGACUUUUUCGGGUUUUGUUUAGGAACCCUCCUAGGUUAAUUUCGACAUCCUGGAUCCAUUUUUGACAUUUGUUUUCCCAAAUUCAAUCGUUUGAAUAGAGUUUUAUUAAUUGGACCCUUUAUGUGCUUAGGGGUAAUUAUUUGUGGUGUUUUUGUCUUCUUUAGUUUGCGUGGCUUUUCGACGGUGAAGUAUCUGUGAGUGGACCCCUUUUUAAAAUGAAUGUUUUAAUAGUAGAAAUGCACACAUGACAAGCAUGAUUUAAUGAUUCAUUUUAUGAAACGUUUUAUGAGAUAUUAUGCUUACUAAGAAUAUUUUGAAUUAUCAUAUUUUAUCGAACUGAUGUUCUUUGUAGUAUAUAUGAUGGAUGACUGUAUACUGCUUACGAACAUGCUUUUACACACUUCUUUAUAGUAUAUAUGAUGGAUGACUAUAUGCUAUGAAGAUGAUUUUGAGAUAUAUGUACUUAUAUUUGGGGAAAGACUAUAUUCAAUGUUUUUGUGCGUAUCUAGUGGUCACUGUUUUGCCUACGCUCAUCUUUCUCCUUUUACCAUACUUUAAACAUACAAACUCCAUAGUCGCUGCCCUUCCUCCUACUGGAGGCCGGUGGCAAUCCCUCUCCCCAUUUUGCUAGCCUCCCUCUUUUAUCUUCUCAUAGAUUGUGACUUAUCUAUUUUUUGUCUAAGUAUUUUUGUCAAUAAAUAUCUCCUUGUUGAGAUUUUUUCAGUCCUUCUUCAUGAUUAUUUUAAUUUUGUGUUCGUAUGUUAUUGGCUUCUUCUGUGCAACUUUGUUGAAAUUGGUUCAUUGAUUGUGUUGCACACAAAAUUAGCUUUUAAUCUGCUAUAAGGUGUUCGUCUAAAAGUGAUAUUUUUUUUUUUUAAAGAUUUGAAUGAAUUUUUAACUAAUUAUAAACAAUAUAUGAUACUUUUCAAAAUUUUAAUAGAAGUCGAAAUCUAUAUAAGGAAAUUAACUAUAAGCACCGUCUUAUUUGGCAGCUCGGACUGUACUGACUAUUUCUAUUAGAUAUGAUAAAUAGCCACCAGAUAGUACUGAGUAAAUUAGUCGAGUGUUUGGUGUAGUAUCAGACUAAUAACCGUAUUAUUUAUACUGUGUUUGAUUUUAUACCGGAUAGGAGGAAUCAAACUUAAAAAAAAAAAAAUUAAACUUAAAAAACAAAACAGAAACCAUCACUUUUGUUCCCAGAUCUCUCCGCCGCACCCCUCAAACUCCCUCAAUCUCUCUCCCUUCUUCUUCUUCCCCGACUACAGAAGAAUCCCAAAUAAUUGUUCCCCAAAUCUCUUUGUCGCACCCCCCCCAAACUCCCUCCCUCUCUCUCCUUUCUUCUUCCCCGAUUGCAGAAGAAUCCCAAAUAAAUUCAAACAGCCAGUUGCGGAAGAAUCCCAAAUUGAAAUCAUCUCUCCGCCGCACCAUGUUUCUUUGCAAGACCCAGUUGCAGGGGAGAACAACGAGUAGGCAAUGAGGAAGGCCACAAGGAGACGAGGACUAGGAGAGCAAAGAUGGCGAGAGAAAGUGACGGCGACAGAAAACAACGGUGAGAGAAAGCGACGGGGAGGACGGCGAUGGUGAAAGAAGGUGACGGGGAGGACGAUGACGCCGAGAGAAGGAGAGAGAGAGAGAAGGCCAACUAAUAAUCCGAGCAUUUUGGUUGGUUUUAUUAAUCCGACGUAUACUGUGUUAAAUAAACAGACCAGUUAAAUUAAUCUGGCGCUUAUUUAGUACGAGUGAACGCCAAACACCCACGUCUGUAUAACUAGUCCUAUUCGAUCCUUUAUCCGAUCUGCCAAACAGGGCCUUAGUGGCAGAAUAUAUAGAUGCAACAUCUAUUGAGACCACACCAGCAGUAGGGGACAAAAAAAAAACAAUGUUAGCAGCUCGUGCAGCUUUGAGAAGAGGAUGAAAGUUGGCACAAGAGGUAAGCAGAUUCAAGAUUGGUUAUGAAUGAGUAAUCCUCAGCAGUGUACUCUAGAGUUGCUUUCGGUAUGACAAUCCCCACGUUGUUUAUAUAUAACAAGACAUUAUUGAAAAGGUUUAGCAUAACAUAACGAUUUUACCUUAUAUGUAUUAUUGAAAAAUGCAAGAAAAUUAUGUGUAUUAAACAUAAAAAGUACAUACAUACGUGUAGAUCUUUGAGUUUUAAAAAACAUACAAUUUUACGAAUUAAUGAAAUUUGAAACGUGUACAACAAACAAAUUUAUUUACGAGGGGAUGUUAAGUUUGUUAUGGAAGUGUGAUGAUGAUUCGUGAUUCAUGCACAUAUGUUAUUUUAACUAAUUAGUCUUCUACCUACAAGGAUGUUGAGUUUGCCAUCAGAAAGUGAUGAGACCUUGUUUAUAAGCUCCUCUCUUUGGGUUUUUGACUUGAAGACAGAUCCGGCCUCGGGAGUUGCGAUGGACCUUGUUUAUAAGCUCAUCUCUUGGCUGAAUGGAAGUAUUGACCAAGGCAACUGGGAGGUUUUCCAGACCAAGUGGGAGAUUUGUUGAGAAGGUGCGGAUUUCAGUUUGUGUGAAUGGUCUUGGGUACCGAGAUCAGCCAAUAGAGCGGCGGAUUUUGUGGUGUCGCAUGUUGGAGCGGAGAUAUGCGACUUAGUCUGGGUUCAACGACCCCCAUCUUCGUUUAUUCGGAAUCUGAACAAGGAUGGUCUACCCUGCCCUCCAACUUAGCUUUUGUUAGAUGUGAUUAAGGUGACAUUGGGGGGGGGGGGGGGGUGCAUACGUGUCGUAGUUUUUCCCUUAGUCCCGUUUAUUUCUGAUGUUGUUUGCCCAAGGUGGCUUUCUGUACUCCUAUUUGGCUUUGGCCCUAGUGAAUGAUAUUUUCCGAUUAUUCAAAAAAAAAAAAAAAAACACACUAUGCAAAUUGAUUGUCCAAUUUGAAUUUGACUAAAUUAUAUUUCAUCCAUUUUCAACAUCGUACAAUGUCUUUCUAUUUCGUACAACUUCUUAUUCAAUCAUUACACGAUGGUCCAGUAGUUUAGGACGAAUUCUAAACUCGUAUUCGAUAAAACUCGUUCUGAAUUUGAUUCAUAACACUGGUGAAUCAUACACUAUAAUUUUGGAGCUAGAAAACAAAUGGAAAGUAUUAGAGAGUGGGAGAGAACUUUGUGUUUACAGUACCACGUCCAGAAUGAGAUCGAUGUCAUUUUGGUUAAUUUUUUAGCAAAUACUACAUUUUCUUAAUGCAAUCUUGUUAAUGGUAACAUAAUGAGUUUAAUGCUCACAAGAUCUCAAAAAUUGCAUAGCAUGUUAUUCUUCCACAAACAGUUCAAGUACUUUUUAAACCAAACACAUUUUAAACUAUUUUUAAUUAACAUUGUCAUGUUUGCAAGCGCUUUAGUUAUUUAAAAGCAUUUUGAAUUGGAAACGGGCCCUACAACAAGCUAGACAUAUGAAGUUUUGAGAAUACUUGAUGAGCAAGUUGUCCAAACCACAUUUAUGUAAUCUUUGGAGGGUUCAGUUGAUGGUGCUUAAAGCGUUUUUCUGACAUCUCUCAUCUAAGUUCACCUCACAACUUAAAAUAAUUAUUUUUUAAUUUUUAAUUGCAUGAAAAGAAAAAAAAAGGGACAUAUUAUUACAUGAAACAUAAUAAGAUUCCUAUCUUAAUUUUUUUUCUAAGAACAAAAAAAAAACCUUGUAUCGUUGACCAUUGAUAGAGACAUGCCGUCCAGUAAUCCAGAAAAUUAAUUUUAUGGAAAACUAAUGAAAAUAGCUUGAAAACUUUGAGUUUUAAAGAUAAGGACAAAAUAAAGAAAAAAGUGAAUAGUACAAGGAUUGACUUUUUAAUGUAAAAAUAUGAUUUUUCGUUAAAGUGAAUAGUACCACUGGCUUUUCAUUAAAACUCCCUUAAUUUUAUGAUCGGCUUUGUAAGGAAAGCGAGGAUGUGCGAUGCUUCUUGAGGAGUUUUGUUGUUUGUCAAUAAAAUCUAUUUAUUUGAAUUUCCUGCUUCUAGUACUACCUACUGCUUGAAGUUUGAACAUAUUAUAGAAGCAUUUUUUAUUGUUCUAAUCGUACAUGUAGAUCAUUUCCAAUGAACUGGCAAUCUUGGUGUGUUGUUUGAAGGAUGUUGGAGUCUUCUCUUCAUCCCGUUUUGGGGUUGUCUUCGGCCGAUCUCAGGCAUCUAUUGAGGGCGAUGGUUUGAGAUGGUGGGUUGGUGGCGUUUUGGCAGUGGUGGAGUAGCAAGUUGCUAGGAUUUGUUGCGGUUUUUUCUUUUGUGGUGAGCUCAAACCUUUGUUUUGGGCCAUUUUUGCGUUACUCUGAAGGUCUACAUCCACGCUGUGUGCUUAAUGUAAUUGGAUCUCUUUCUUUGUAAUUUUGUUGUCUUGGCAAAAAUUUUACCCUAAAAAAAAUCUAGGCUUGAAAGCUCUUCCAAUAUAGCGAAACUAAACGUCAAUAGACCAAAUGUUUGACAAUCUUUUAUUUUCUGAUUUAAUUAGAACAUUAAUGAUGUCACCAGUUUUCACAUACAAUAAAAGCACACCACUUUGGAAUUACUAGAUACGAGAUUUUUUUUUUUAGAACUGUUUCCAAGUUAUGCUCCUUGGAAGAGCAAGCCAUUGACAGUCACCCCGCCGUCGACGAUAAUAGUUUGCCCAGUAAUGUAAGAGGCUGCAGGUAGGCAUAGAAAUGCUACCACGGAAGACACCUCCUCUGGCUCUCCAGGACGUCCUAAGGGGCACCGAGAGUUUAUCAUCUCCAAUUUCUUUUCAUCUCGGAGAAACUGCGUGCAUAGAAGAGAUAAUGGAUGAAACGAGAAUGAAUGUGUAGGACACAUAUAUUACCGAUGAUCUUAAUAAUUGGUCAAGCUCUUCGUAAACAAAUUAAUUAAGACUAGAAGUAUGAUGUAAACUUGCUGUCAACUUUUCACCAAAAAUCUUGCUGUAAACAAGUCAGGUCUAAAAUUGAACCUAUACUUGAAUAAACAAAAGACAUGGACUUUUGGCAAACCCCAACUUUUUAUUCUAAUUUUGCCUAUGGACUUUUGGCAGUCUCAUCAAUGAAAUACUGAUUGGCUUAAAGUUAUGAGAUGAUUGUAAUACAAGUAGUUAAAAGAAUUCACUCAUAUAUCUUAAAUUCAAUUUCGAUUUUCCUUCCAGAACAUCGAUUGUAUUAGAAAAAAUGAAAAUAAACAGCAUGCACAAGAACGUGACCAGGAUAAUCUUACAGGUUCAACGAGGGGAGUCGUGAUGAACCAAGGUGCCACACUGUUGGUCCUUAUGUUAUCUUUCGCCCACUCACAUGCCAAGUUUUUUGCUAACUGAUUCAUUGCACCUGAUGAGAUACAAUAAGGAAAAGCCACACUUUUGUCAAACAUUAAAAAUCACACACCAAACAAUGUAAUCAAAUUUUAGGGGUUUCUCGUCUCAACCUCUUAUGGUUUAAAAAAAAUAAAAAAAAAUAAAAAAAAAACUAGCUGCUCCUCUUUCUCCUCUUACCAAACCCUAAAUCUUCAAACUUCAUAGUCGCCAGCCUCUUGCUCCGACUGGAGGCAGUGGCAAGCCCUCUGCUCAUUUUUCUAGCCUGUCUCCUUCAUCUUCUUAUCGAUUGUUGCUUAUUUAUUUUUCAUCUUAGCAUUUUUGUCGAUAAGUGUCUCCUUGGUGAGGUUUUUUGUGAGUAUUUCUUCGUGAGUGUAUUAAUUUUGUAUUGGUGUGUUAUCGGCUCCUUUUGUGUCUACUUUGUUAACACGAAAUUCAUGUUGUGCACAAAAUUAGCUUUUAAUCUUAUAUAAGGUAUUAGUCUAAAAGUGAUAAGGAUUUGAAUGAAGUUUUUUUUUACAAAUAAUAAACAAAAUAUGUUUUAUUUUAUUUUAUUUUAUUUUAUAAAGGUCAAAAUUACAUAGGGAAAUUAACUAAGCACCUUUAGUGGCAGAAUAUAUAGAUCCAACACCUGCUGAGACCACACCAGCAAUAGAGGACAAAAAAACGAUGUUAGCAACUCCUGAAGCUUUGAGAAGUGGAUGUGUAAGUUGGCACAAGUUGUAAGCAGAUUCAAGAUUGGUCUCAUUAUGAAUGAGUAAUCUUCAGCUGUGUACUCCAGCGUUGCUUUCGGUACGACAGUCCCCACAUUGUUUAUCUAUAACAAGACAUUAUUGGAAAGGUUUAGCAUAAUAUAACAAUUUUAGCUUAUAUGUAUUAUUAAAAAAUGCACGAAACGUGUACAUCUUUGAGUUUUAACAAACCUACAAUUUUACGAAUUAUUGAAACGUCUACAACAAAAAGAAAUAUUUACGAGGAUCUUAAGUUUGCCAUGAAAGAGUAAUGAUGAUUAAUGAUUCAUGCAUAUGUGUUAUUUCAAUUGAUCAGUCAUUUACUUACAAAAAUGUUAAGUUUGCCAUCAAAGAGUGAUGAGACCUUGUUUAUAAGCUCCUCUCUUUGGGUUUUAGACACCACAUCACAGACUGAGCCAGUGACUUGAAAACCCUUCUUCUCCCACUGACUCAGGCAGUCAUUAAGGUCAACUUCAUUUCGGGAACAAGUAUGCACAAUCGCACCCAGCCCUGCCAAUUCCUCCACUAUCGCAUACCUAAAUAAAUACUAAACUAAUUUAACAAACAGCAGUAAAAAAAUAAUUCAAACCCAUAAUUCUAAAAGAGAAGAAAACAUGGGAUAAGUGGAGAAAUAAAAUGAAUAUUGCAUUGCAUGUAUAGGAAAAUUGAAACUAAAAGAAGAUUAAUGUUCUUGAG
rnacentral:lncRNA from 1 species